rnacentral:rRNA from 1 species
UAGCUUGCUACCUGACCUAGCGGCGGACGGGUGAGUAAUGCUUAGGAAUCUGCCUAUUAGUGGGGGACAACAUUCCGAAAGGAAUGCUAAUACCGCAUACGCCCUACGGGGGAAAGCAGGGGAUCUUCGGACCUUGCGCUAAUAGAUGAGCCUAAGUCAGAUUAGCUAGUUGGUGGGGUAAAGGCCUACCAAGGCGACGAUCUGUAGCGGGUCUGAGAGGAUGAUCCGCCACACUGGGACUGAGACACGGCCCAGACUCCUACGGGAGGCAGCAGUGGGGAAUAUUGGACAAUGGGCGAAAGCCUGAUCCAGCCAUGCCGCGUGUGUGAAGAAGGCCUUUUGGUUGUAAAGCACUUUAAGCGAGGAGGAGGCUACUUGGAUUAAUACUCUAGGAUAGUGGACGUUACUCGCAGAAUAAGCACCGGCUAACUCUGUGCCAGCAGCCGCGGUAAUACAGAGGGUGCGAGCGUUAAUCGGAUUUACUGGGCGUAAAGCGUGCGUAGGCGGCUUUUUAAGUCGGAUGUGAAAUCCCUGAGCUUAACUUAGGAAUUGCAUUCGAUACUGGGAAGCUAGAGUAUGGGAGAGGAUGGUAGAAUUCCAGGUGUAGCGGUGAAAUGCGUAGAGAUCUGGAGGAAUACCGAUGGCGAAGGCAGCCAUCUGGCCUAAUACUGACGCUGAGGUACGAAAGCAUGGGGAGCAAACAGGAUUAGAUACCCUGGUAGUCCAUGCCGUAAACGAUGUCUACUAGCCGUUGGGGCCUUUGAGGCUUUAGUGGCGCAGCUAACGCGAUAAGUAGACCGCCUGGGGAGUACGGUCGCAAGGCUAAAACUCAAAUGAAUUGACGGGGGCCCGCACAAGCGGUGGAGCAUGUGGUUUAAUUCGAUGCAACGCGAAGAACCUUACCUGGUCUUGACAUAGUAAGAACUUUCCAGAGAUGGAUUGGUGCCUUCGGGAACUUACAUACAGGUGCUGCAUGGCUGUCGUCAGCUCGUGUCGUGAGAUGUUGGGUUAAGUCCCGCAACGAGCGCAACCCUUUUCCUUAUUUGCCAGCGGGUUAAGCCGGGAACUUUAAGGAUACUGCCAGUGACAAACUGGAGGAAGGCGGGGACGACGUCAAGUCAUCAUGGCCCUUACGACCAGGGCUACACACGUGCUACAAUGGUCGGUACAAAGGGUUGCUACCUAGCGAUAGGAUGCUAAUCUCAAAAAGCCGAUCGUAGUCCGGAUUGGAGUCUGCAACUC